CUAGAGGAAGUAAAAGUCGUAACAAGGUUUCCGUAGGUGAACCUGCGGAAGGAUCAUUAUUGAAAUAAACCUGAUGGGUUGUUGCUGGCUCUCUAGGGAGCAUGUGCACGCCUUGUCAUCUUUAUAUCUCCACCUGUGCACCUUUUGUAGACCUUUCGGGGUCUAUGUUGCUUCAUUUUUCCACAAUGUAUGUUAAUAGAAUGUUGUGCCCUGUAUAAUAUAUACAACUUUCAGCAACGGAUCUCUUGGCUCUCGCAUCGAUGAAGAACGCAGCGAAAUGCGAUAAGUAAUGUGAAUUGCAGAAUUCAGUGAAUCAUCGAAUCUUUGAACGCACCUUGCGCUCCUUGGUAUUCCGAGGAGCAUGCCUGUUUGAGUGUCAUUAAUAUACAUAUAUCAAGCCUUCUCUUGUAGAAGGGUUUGGAUGUGGGGGUUUGCUGGCCUCUUAAUCUUAAGAGUUCAGCUCUCCUGAAAUGCAUUAGCAGAACAACCUUAUGUUCAUUGGUGUGAUAACUAUCUACGCUAUUGAAUGUUGAGGGGCAAGUUCAGCUUUCUAACGGUCCUUGGACAAACUCAUCAUUAAUGUGACCUCAAAUCAGGUAGGACUACCCGCUGAACUUAAGCAUAUCAAUAAGCGGAGGAAAAGAAACUAACAAGGAUUCCCCUAGUAACUGCGAGUGAAGCGGGAAAAGCUCAAAUUUAAAAUCUGGCGGUUUUUUUGGCCGUCCGAGUUGUAAUCUAGAGAAGUGUUAUCCGCGCUGGACCGUGUACAAGUCUCCUG
rnacentral:rRNA from 1 species